GCGAACUUGGCAGAGAUGCCUUGGUGCCUUCGGGAACGCUGAGACAGGUGCUGCAUGGCUGUCGUCAGCUCGUGUUGUGAAAUGUUGGGUUAAGUCCCGNAACGAGCGCAACCCUUAUCCUUUGUUGCCAGCGAUUCGGUCGGGAACUCAAAGGAGACUGCCGGUGAUAAACCGGAGGAAGGUGGGGAUGACGUCAAGUCAUCAUGGCCCUUACGAGUAGGGCUACACACGUGCUACAAUGGCGCAUACAAAGAGAAGCGACCUCGCGAGAGCAAGCGGACCUCAUAAAGUGCGUCGUAGUCCGGAUCGGAGUCUGCAACUCGACUCCGUGAAGUCGGAAUCGCUAGUAAUCGUGGAUCAGAAUGCCACGGUGAAUACGUUCCCGGGCCUUGUACACACCGCCCGUCACACCAUGGGAGUGGGUUGCAAAAGAAGUAGGUAGCUUAACCUUCGGGAGGGCGCUUACCACUUUGUGAUUCAUGACUGGGGUGAAGUCGUAACAAGGUAAGCGUAGCGAG
rnacentral:rRNA from 1 species